rnacentral:tRNA from 1 species
GCGGUUGUAGUCUAGCCUGGUAGGACUCGAGCUUCCCAAGCUCGAAACCCGGGUUCAAAUGCAGGUUUGCUUGCGAUAAUGCGCAUUCAGCCCCGC